rnacentral:rRNA from 1 species
GGGUUGUGAGGUUAAGCGACUAAGCGUACACGGUGGAUGCCCUGGCAGUCAGAGGCGAUGAAGGGCGUGCUAAUCUGCGAUAAGCGCCGGUAAGGUGAUAUGAACCGUUAUAACCGGCGAUACCCGAAUGGGGAAACCCAGUGUGAUUCGUCACACUAUCAUUACGUGAAUACAUAGCGUAAUGAAGCGAACCGGGGGAACUGAAACAUCUAAGUACCCCGAGGAAAAGAAAUCAACCGAGAUUCCCCCAGUAGCGGCGAGCGAACGGGGAGGAGCCCAGAGCCUGAAUCAGCAUGUGUGUUAGUGGAAGCGUCUGGAAAGGCGCGCG